UAUUUCUAAACAGCAUUGCAGCAAUGAAACAGGCACAUUAUUCCACUUCCAACUGCUGGGCAUGCGUGUCUCUGUUGUCUGUGGAGGGCAGCUGUAGCCGGGUCCUCUGGAUUUUGUUUCACAGAGACAUCAUGGACACAUUUCAUGCCUUUGAAGUUGAGCUUGAUCUUCUGACAACAAAGAGACUUUCAGCCUGAGAGCCACGACAGUGAUGGCUGACAUUCGGAGCAUCACCUCCUCCUUCUUGCGUUAACACCCCUGCAGCUACCAUUUGGAGCCUGUCCAGGUCCCCCGGGCUGUUUCCCACGAGAUGCAGUUUGUGUUGAACCAGCUUUCACUUUCUGGAACGACACUGCGCUACCGUGUUUACUGGAGCUGCCGCUCUGAUGUUGGAGUACUACUCCAUAAACACUGGUAACAUGGGGACUAAAGUCAAACAUUGAGAAACUAAACUGUUGCUAAAUCAGGAAUGUUAAGUUUUUAAAAUGCUCUGAAUCCUUCCAGCAGCGCCGAGUGUUUCUACAAUGUUUACUGCAUGUUUGUGAUAUAUGCAGAUAAGUUAUUCAUGGUUCCUCCACCAGGAGCUGAACAGGAAGCUGAUGUCACAAACGGAGCAGAAGAGGAUGAAGCAAACUAGGAGGAGCGGUCCCUUCGCUCUGUCCCAGGCAAGAUCACCACGCCCAGUCCAGCUCUCUGAUGGAUACAACCUCCCAUCCCAUGAUGCCCUGGCACAGAUCCUACCAAAUGGUCGCUACCCUUUCAAGGAGGCAAGGACUGAGCUCCACAGAGCAGCCCAGCAAGAACAGGAGAGACCAGCAGAGAGGCCAGAGGCUACACAGGCCAACAAACCCAACAUUAACCACACCUAUCAAGUGCAUCAUGCACAUAAACGGUAAGAGAGACAACUACAUCCGAAAAUCAUGGAUUUAUUGUGAUGAUCAUUGCAUGAAUAAUUUUUUGGUAAGA
rnacentral:lncRNA from 1 species